AGACCUACGGGAGGCAGCAGUAGGGAAUUUUCGUCAAUGGGCGCAAGCCUGAACGAGCGAUGCCGCGUGAGUGAAGAAGGCCUUCGGGUCGUAAAGCUCUGUUGCGGGGGAAAAAAGGACAGGAAGAGGAAAUGCUUUCUGUUUGAUGGUACCCCGCCAGAAAGUCACGGCUAACUACGUGCCAGCAGCCGCGGUAAUACGUAGGUGGCGAGCGUUAUCCGGAAUGAUUG
rnacentral:rRNA from 1 species